rnacentral:rRNA from 1 species
GACAGAGGUGCCGAGCGUUAGGCGGAAUCACUGGGCUUAAAGCGUGUGUAGGCGGACUUCUAAGUACCUUGUGAAAUCCCACGGCUCAACCGUGGAACUGCUUGGUAUACUGGUUGUCUUGAGCCACUUAGGGGCAGUCGGAACAGACGGUGGAGCGGUGAAAUGCGUAGAUAUCGUCUGGAACGCCAAAGGGUGGAAAAACAG